CAGCCGCCGCGGGAAAACGGAGGGUGCAAGCGUUAAUCGGAAUUACUGGGCGUAAAGCGUGCGUAGGCGGUUCGUUAAGUCUGUUGUGAAAGCCCCGGGCUCAACCUGGGAAUGGCGAUGGAUACUGGCGAGCUAGAGUGUGUCAGAGGAUGGUGGAAUUCCCGGUGUAGCGGUGAAAUGCGUAGAGAUCGGGAGGAACAUCAGUGGCGAAGGCGGCCAUCUGGGACAACACUGACGCUGAGGCACGAAAGCGUGGGGAGCAAACAGGAUUAGAUACCCCCGUAGUCCCUGUCUCUUAUAC
rnacentral:rRNA from 1 species